CCAUUUAUUUAUUGAUGACGUAGUUGUAUGUCCUUGUACUUUGAACUUGUGUAAUAUGUAAAGUUAUCAAUAAAGGUCUUUCUGCAUUUCCACUGCGCCUCACCUGUAGCGCUCCCCUCUCCCAGGGAGCACAGCUGAUCACGGCUGUCAGAGAACCCGCUUUCAGGCGUUCAUUAAAAUCAGGCGGAGAUCUUUUCUGACGUCGAUCUUCCAGUCAGGAAGAAAACGUUUCAGAAGACACUUCAGAAAAUGUUCGAAAACGAGGAACAAUGUGUUUCUGAUUUUAUUUUCAUUUUAUUUUGGAGAUCGACAGGGAACGUCUCCGAGAUCGACCGGUUGGCGACCACUGCCUUAAGGAAUAAGCAGCAAGCCAAAGAAACGGUGACAUCCAGCUCGAGCUUCUCGUUGAUCACGUGUUGGUGACGUCAGAGCAGGCGGGCUCUCGUCGGACACGCACCCCCCGCGCAUGCGUAGUGCGCAGGUGGACUCUGGCUCCUCUCCAGCGAGCCUCUGUGUUGUCUCCGUGUCUCCAGGAGAAAUGCUGAGACUGUUGGUGAAGCAGCAAGUCGACGCGGUCGUUGAAGAGGCUUUUGUGCUGUUGGACACAUUAACAGCAGCUUAUGAGGACACCGCGUCUCGUCUCGGAGAACAUGAGCUACACACAUCAGGUUGGUGCUGCUUCACGAUGGUUCCCGGGCUUCAUCUCGUUUGACGGCUUCAAGUCACAUGGAGUCCGUUUCCAGCUCGUGGACUGGAGUUAGCGAGACUUGUGGUGGAUGUGGUUCGUUUCCAGCUCUCCUCUGAUCUCAUUCAUCAGGGAGGAACUUUAAACACCUCACGGUGCUCGAGGCAAACUGGUUACGGGAUCUGCACGUGGACAUCUUUUGGGACGGUCUUCAACAUGGCGGCCAGAGCAACUUCUGGAGGAGGAAGCCGGCCGUAAAGUGAUCCAACUGAUAUGUCCAGCAGCUGUUGGCUAUUCAAGCAGAUGUCCCCCCUGAGGACCAGGUCCAGGCUUCAGGAUCUUCUGAGACUGAAGUCAUUCAUGGUGAAUGGCAAGAACCGUUGUCAGAUUCUGGACCUGAAAGUGAAGACGGGGAUGAUAUCUGGAAGGAGACCAGGGAAUCCUUCAGCUUCUUCAAGUGUAGUAAACGGUGUUACUACAAGGGGUUUCUGCAGAAACACAUGAGGUGUCAUUUUGGAAAAAUAUCCUCCAGCGGUUUGUUUGGAAAGAAAUGUUUUAGAGAGAAGCCAAAGAAAGAAUCAUGGCCAAGAGGUCUAACAGGAGAGAAACCAUUCAGUUGUGAUGUUUGUGGGAAAAGAUUUAUGGAUAAGGGGGUUCUGAAGAGACACAUGAGAGUCCACACGGGAGAGAAACCAUUCAGUUGUGAUGUUUGUGGGACCAGAUUUAAAGUACAGGCACAUCUGAAGAAUCACAUGAGAGUCCACACAGGAGAGAAACCAUUCAGUUGCGAUGUUUGUGGGAAAAGAUUUAUACGACAGGCACAUCUGAAGAGACACAUGAGAUGCCACACAGGAGAGAAACCAUUCAGUUGUGAUGUUUGUGGGAAAAGAUUCACAAGACAGGAACAUCUGAAGAGACACAUGAGAUGCCACACAGGAGAGAAACCAUUCAGUUGUGAUGUUUGUGGGAAAAGAUUCACACAACAGGGAGGUGUCAAGAGACACAUGAGAGUCCACCCAGGAGAGAACAUUUGAAAUAAAUGUAAAUGUUUCAAAUGCAAUUUGUUUCUGAAUGAGAUGGAGGGCAAAGUGUUUGUUCAACAGCUGAUGAAUCUUUUAAAUAACAAUGACAACAUAUUGUUUGUCUAUGAUGAAGAAAACAAAAAACUCUGUAAGAAUAUAUCUUUAUUUAAAAUACAUAAAUCUUUGUAAUGCUUUUAAAUCUACAUGUGGACUCGGCCCUGUUACGGCUGAGUGUCGGCUGACUGCUGUGGUCCGGCUUGAUGCGGCUACAUGUGAGCCAGCUUUGGCCUCUUUCAUUUUAGCCAUAUAUAUACAGUAUAUAUGUAUGUGUGUGUGUGUGUGUAUUCUGUAUUUCUCGUCCUGUAACAAUCUAAAGUUGUGACUCUAGUCCUGCUUACUGUAUAUGGGUGUGUGUGUUUGGUGUCAUUAGAUAAACAACAUACACUGAU